rnacentral:rRNA from 1 species
UACGUAGGGGGCGAGCGUUGUCCGGAUUUAUUGGGCGUAAAGAGCUCGUAGGCGGUUUGUCGCGUCUGCCGUGAAACCCGAGGCUCAACCUCGGGCCUGCAGUGGGUACGGGCAGACUAGAGUGCGGUAGGGGGAGAUUGGAAUUCCUGGUGUAGCGGUGGAAUGCGCAGAUAUCGAGGAGGAACACCAAUGGCGAAGGCAGAUCUCUGGGCCGUAACUGACGCUGAGGAGCGAAAGCAUGGGGAGCGAACAGG